GGGGAACAAAAAUUUUCCCACUAUCCCAACUCUAUUCAGUAUUAUAGAGGAAUUCCAACUAAUAAACAUAAUAGAAGAAGUGAUAGAAGAAGAAAAUCACAACUUUGCAUCCCUUUAAUGAAAUAAUUGAUCUGGACAAAACAUUUUAAUAACUUCUAAUACUAUUGGGAGAAAGGUUGAAGAAGAACUUUAUAAUAGAGUUAUUAGGCUAACACUACUUACAUCUCAAGUCAAUUUUUUUUUAAAGAAGGAAAACAUCUUUGGACACUAUAUUUGCUUUAUUUUAUUAAGGCAUAUUAUUUGUGCAUAUUAAUGGAGUUUGGUGUGAUAAUUCCAUACACGCAUAUAGCAUGCCUUAAUCAAAUCCACCCACCCUUUUUCCAUUGUCACACACACACACACACACACACAUACAUUUCCCAAUCUCUAGUAAUCACUAGUCUACUUUCAGAUUGAUAUUCUUUCAGCUUCCACAUAUGAAAGAGAACAUGUGUUACCUGUCUUCCUGUGUUCGCUUUAUUCCAUUUAACGUAAUGUCCUCCAUCCAUUUUACUGCAAAUGACAGAAUUUAAUUCUUCUUUAUGACUAAAUAAUACUCCAUUGCAUAUAUCAUCAAUCCAAUCACUAAUAGUGGAAUAACAAGUCAGUGACAAAAUAACAUUUGGGGAACAGUUGUGGAUUUUUAAUAUGGGUUUGAUGUUAGAUAAAAUUGGUAAAGUAAUAUCUUAAAUACUCAAGCCAGAGAUAGGGAUGUAUUUCAGUGGCAGAGCCCUUGUCUUGUACAAAGUCCUGGGUUCAAUCUUCAGUACUCUAAAAAUAAAAUAAAAUACUCAUGCCAAAGCAAAAAAAAAAUAGGGCUAGAAUUCAAUUUUUGUGAUGAUGUGGAACCAGUGUUAUGGUCUGGAUGUGAGGUGUCCCCCAAAAGGUCAUAUAUGAGACAAUGAAGAAGAUUCAGAGGAGAAAUUAUUGGGCUGUGAAUCUUAACCCAAUCAGUGAAUUAAUCAUCUGAUGGGAUUAAUUGAGUGUUAAUUGAAGGCAGAUUGGGUAUGGCUGGAGGAGGUGGGGCAUUGGGGUGUGUGGAUAUAUAUUUGUAUUUGGCAAGUGGAGAUCUCUCUCUCUACUUCCUGAUCCCUCAUGUGAACUGUUUCCCUGUGCCACACUCUUCCUCCAUGAUGUUCAGCCUCACCUUCAGCCCCAAGGAAUGGAACUGACUGUCUAUGGACAGAGACCUUUGAAACUGUGAGCCCCCCC
rnacentral:lncRNA from 1 species